CCUACGGGGGGCAGCAGUGAGGAAUAUUGGUCAAUGGGCGCUAGCCUGAACCAGCCACGUCGCGUGAAGGAUGACUGCUCUCUGGGUUGUAACCUUCUUUUAUAUGGGAGUAAAGUGCAGUAUGUAUACUGCUUUGCAUGUACCUUAUGAAUCAGGAUCGGCUAACUCCGUGCCAGCAGCCGCGGUAAUACGGAGGAUCCGAGCGUUAUCCGGAUUUAUUGGGUUUAAAGGGAGCGUAGGCGGGUUGGUAAGUCAGAUGUGAAAGUGUGCGGCUCAACCGUAAAAUUGCAGUUGAUACGGGAAUCCUUGAGUAUAGGAGAGGUAGGCGGAAUUCGUGGUGUAGCGGUGAAAUGCGUAGAUAUCACGAAGAACACCGAUGGCGAAGGCAGCCUGCUGGACUGUAACUGACGCUGAGGCUCGAAAGUGUGGGUAUCAAACAGGAUUAGAUACCCGAGUAGUC
rnacentral:rRNA from 1 species